AUUGAACGCUGGCGGCAGGCCUAACACAUGCAAGUCGAACGAGUGGGGACGGGUGAGUAACACGUGGGUAACCUCCCAUCAGAGGGGAUAACACUUGGAAACAGGUGCUAAACCGAUAUUGAUUGAUGGACCCGCGGUGCAUUAGCUAGUUGGUGAGGUAACGGCUCACCAAGGCCACGAUGCAUAGCCGACCUGGGAGGGGGAUAGGCCACACGGGGACUGAGACACGGCACAGACGCAGCCGGGAGGCAGCAGUAGGGAAUCGUCGGGAAUGGACGAAAGUCUGACCGAGCAACGCGGCGUGAGUGAAGAAGGUUUUCGGAGCGUAAAACUCUGUUGUUAGAGAAGCGGUAGCUAACCAGAAAGCCACGGCUAACUACGUGCCAGCCGCCGCGGUAAUUC
rnacentral:rRNA from 1 species